rnacentral:lncRNA from 1 species
AUGGGAUCAGUGUGGCAAUGGGAUCAGCGUGGCCACAGGAUCAGUGGGGCUGUGGGAUCAGCUUGGCCAUGGGAUCAGUGUGGCCAUGGGAUCAGCGUGGCUGUGGGCUCAGUGUGGCCACAGGAUCACUGUGGCCAUGGGCUCAGGUGUGGCUGUGGGCUCGGUGUGGCCAUGGGAUCACCGUGCUCAUGGGAUCACCGUGCCCAUGGGAUCACUGUGCCCAUGGGAUCACCGUGUCCAUGGGAUCACUGCUCCCAUGGGACCACCGUGCUCAUGGGAUCACUAUUCCCAUGGGAUCACUGUUCCCAUGGGAUCACUGUGUCCACGGGAUCACCGUUCCCAUGGGAUCACCGUGCCCAUGGGAUCACCGUGUCCAUGGGAUCACCGUUCCCACGGGAUCACCGUUCCCAUGGGAUCACCGUGUCCAUGGGAUCACUGCUCCCAUGGGAUCACUGUGUCCACGGGAUCACUGUGCUCAUGGGAUCACCGUGUCCAUGGGAUCACUGUUCCCACGGGAUCACCGUGCCCACGGGAUCACCGCGCCCACGGGAUCACCAUUCCCAUGGGAUCACUGUGUCCAUGGGAAUCACCGUUCCCAUGGGACCACUGUGUCCAUGGGAUCACCGUGCCCACGGGAUCACUGUGCUCAUGGGAUCACUGUGUCCAUGGGAUCACUGUUCCCAUGGGAUCACUGUGUCCAUGGGAUCACUGUUCCCACGGGAUCACCGUGCCCAUGGGAUCACUGUGUCCAUGGGAUCACCGUGCCCAUGGGAUCACUGCUCCCAUGGGAUCACUGUGCUCAUGGGAUCACUGUGUCCAUGGGAAUCACCGUUCCCAUGGGACCACUGUGUCCAUGGGAUCACCGUUCCCAUGGGAUCACUGUGUCCAUGGGAUCACUGUGCUCAUGGGAUCACUGUUCCCAUGGGAUCACUGUGUCCAUGGGAUCACUGUUCCCAUGGGAUCACUGUGUCCAUGGGAUCACCGUGCCCACGGGAUCACUGUUCCCAUGGGAUCACUGUUCCCAUGGGAUCACUGUUCCCAUGGGAUCACUGUUCCCACGGGACCACCGUGCUCAUGGGAUCACCGUGGCCACGGGAUCUCUGUGGGAUUCCCAUCUGCGAUGCUGAGGGAUCCCGCCUGCUGCAUUCCUGCUUUUUCUGGGAUCAAUNUUCCCCAGCUCCGCUCCCUCCGUGCGGGGGUCCGGCGGCUCCGACCGCGCCAGAUGUUUUUG